AGGGGAGGCAGAGAAGAAAUACGGCACAGAACUAGGGGGAGAAUGUACAGAAGUGGGAGUAGGAUGAGAGUAGGACGAGAGAGCGAAACAGAGAGAACAGAAGACGAGAGUGAAGGAUAGAUAAGGAGUACGGUGAGAGUUGAGGAGAGUGAGAGAGGGCAUGAAGAGUGAAAAGAGAGCAGAACGGAAAGGCAGAGCAGCGGACAAAAAGACACAGGCAGGAGAAGUCAGCGAUGAGGUGUGAGUGUGUGUCCACGGUGUCCUCUGAUGGAUUGGCGUCAUAUCCUGGGUGUGUUCCUGUGUUCCUUCGGGUUUCUGGGAGAGGCUUCGGAUACACCGUGACCCUGGCCAGGGUGGAGAUGAAGCAAGGGCUGUAUCCCGCUGGCACCGCCUAUUAGCAGGCAUUGUGGGUAAUCAGGUUAAUCUUUAAGAUUAACAUGGGAUCUUCAGUUGGAUCCAAUAUUCAACAGAAUUUCAUUACGGAGUAAAUAUUGGAUGCAACUGAAGAUCCCAUGUUUAAAGAUUA